rnacentral:rRNA from 1 species
UGCNGGUCGGACGGGAUAUGGGAGCUUGCUUCCAUUGAGAGUGGCGCACGGGUGCGUAACACGUAUGUAACCUACCCUUGUCAGGGGGAUAGCCUCUCGAAAGAGAGAUUAAGCCCGCAUAACACUAUACCACGGCAUCGUGGCAUAAUCAAAUAUUUAUAGGACAAGGAUGGGCAUGCGGAACAUUAGCUAGUUGGUAAGGUAAAGGCUUACCAAGGCUACGAUGUUUAGGGGAUCUGAGAGGAUGACCCCCCACACUGGUACUGAGACACAGACCAGACUCCUACGGGAGGCAGCAGUAAGGAAUAUUGGUCAAUGGGCGGAAGCCUGAACCAGCCAUGCCGCGUGCAGGAAGACGGCCCUACGGGUUGUAAACUGCUUUUGCAGGGGAAUAAACCACUAUAUGUAUAUAGUGCUGAAUGUACUCUGAGAAUAAGGAUCGGCUAACUCCGUGCCAGCAGCCGCGGUAAUACGGAGGAUCCAAGCGUUAUCCGGAUUUAUUGGGUUUAAAGGGUGCGUAGGCGGCUCAUUAAGUCAGGGGUGAAAGACGGUAGCUUAACUAUCGCAGUGCCUUUGAUACUGAUGAGCUUGAAUGUAGUUGAGGUAGGCGGAAUGUGACAAGUAGCGGUGAAAUGCAUAGAUAUGUCACAGAACACCAAUUGCGAAGGCAGCUUACUAUGGUGCGAUUGACACUGANGCACGAAAG